UGUUGCUUGCAAGGGCGUAUGGUGGAUGCCUUGGCAGACAGGACCGAUGAAGGACGUUUGAGGCUGCGAUAUGCCUCGGGGAGCCGCCAACAGGGCUUUGAUCCGAGGAUUUCCGAAUGGGGGAACCCACCGACCGUCAUGGGUCGGUACCGGCUUCGGCCGGGGGGUACGCAGGGAAGUGAAACAUCUCAGUACCUGCAGGAAAGGAUAUUCCGUGAGUAGUGGCGAGCGAAAGCGGAUGAUGGCCAAACCUUGCGCGUGUGAUACCCGUCGGGGGUUGCGCGCGGGGUGUUGCGGGAUCGCGUGCGCCGGCUCCGACGGGCCGGCCGGCAGUUGCAGAAAACCAUGUGUCAGGGGAACCGGGUUGAAUACCGGGCCGCAGAGGGUGAGGGCCCCGUACCUGAACGCGCAUGGUCUGCCGAUCGCGUCUCCCAAGUAGCACGGGUCCCGUGGAACCCCGUGCGAAUCCGCCCAGACCGUUGGGUAAGCCUGAAUAUUCCUGUCUGACCGAUAGCGAACGAGUACCGUGAGGGAAAGGUGAAAAGUACCCCGGGAGGGGAGUGAAACAGUCUCUGAAACCGUGCGCCUACAAUCCGUCGGAGCCCUUUUGUGGGGUGACGGCGUGCCUAUCGAAAAAUGAGUCUGCGAGUCAGUGGCAUGUGGCGAGCAUAACCCGUGUGGGGUAUGCGUAGCGAAGGCGAGUCUUAAAAGGCGUUUGAGUCGCGUGUCCUGGACCCGAAGCGGGAUGAUCUAGCCCUGAGCAGGUUGAAGCGCGGGUAAGACCGCGUGGAGGACCGAACCCACCUGGGUUGAAAACCGGGGGGAUGACUUGGGGCUAGGGGUGAAAGGCCAAUCAAAUUCCGUGAUAGCUGGUUCUCUCCGAAAUGCAUUUGGGUGCAGCGUCGGGUCAUUACGUCCCGGGGGUAGAGCUACUGGAUGCUUGCGGGCCCGUAUCGGGUACCAACAGCAACCAAACUCCGAAUACCGGUGACGCGUAUCCCGGCAGUGAGUCGGCGGGGGAUAAGCUUCGUCGUCGAAAGGGAAACAGCCCAGACCGUCGUCUAAGGUCCCGAAGCGUGUGCUAAGUGGGAAAGGAUGUGGAGUCGCAUAGACAGCCAGGAGGUUGGCUCAGAAGCAGCCACCCUUGAAAGAGUGCGUAACAGCUCACUGGUCUAGUGGUUCCGCGCCGACAAUGUAGCGGGGCUCAAGCACACCACCGAAGACGCGGCAGUAUUUUGUACUGGGUAGGAGAGCGUCCCAUGAGGGGCGAAGCGGCCGUGUGAACGCGCCGUGGACUUCAUGGGAGUGAGAAUGCAGACAUGAGUAGCGAGAGACGGGUGAAGAUCCCGUCCGCUGGAUGACCAAGGGUUCCAGGGCCACGUUCAUCGUCCCUGGGUGAGUCGGGUCCUAAGGCGAGGCCGACAGGCGUAGUCGAAUGGAUGAACGGGUCGAUAUUCCCGUACCGGCUUUCAGCCGCCAAAACCGAGGCUUGGAGUACUAACCUCCGGGUCCGGGCUUACUGCUCCUUCGGGGGCGGGAUGCCCUGGCCUGUUGGGACCGAUCCUUGUAGUAGGUCAGCGCAGGAGUGACGCAGAAGGGUAGCCGGCCGCGGAGGUGGUCUUCCGUGGUCAAGCACGCAGGGCGUGGGACAGGCAAAUCCGUCCCGCAUGGGUCCGAGGUGCGAUGAUGGGGGCCUUAUGGCCCGAUAUCCGGUGAUCCCGGCUGCCGAGAAAAGCUUCGGCGUCAGGCUCAAAGCCGCCCGUACCCCAAACCGACACUGGUGGUCAGGUAGAGAAUACCAAAGCGAUCGAGCGAAUCCUGGUCAAGGAACUCGGCAAAUCACUCCCGUUCCUUCGGUUUAAGGGAGACCCCCGAUGGUGAACCGCCUCGCGCGGGGAGCUUUUGGGGGUGGCACAGACCAGGGGGUAGCGACUGUUUACCAAAAACACAGGUGCAUGCGAAGGCGCAAGCCGCUGUAUAUGCACUGACGCCUGCCCGGUGCCGGAAGGUUAAGAGGAUCCGUCAGCCUUCGGGUGAAGCGGUGAAUUCAAGCCCCGGUAAACGGCGGUGGUAACUAUAACCAUCCUAAGGUAGCGAAAUUCCUUGUCGGGUAAGUUCCGACCUGCACGAAUGGCGUAA
rnacentral:rRNA from 1 species